rnacentral:hammerhead_ribozyme from 15 species
AUUCAGUCUGGAAACAGCUGAAGUUGUGCGGUCCUUACUGAUGAGGCAAUGGAAAAUGCUGAAACUGACC